rnacentral:rRNA from 1 species
GCCAGCAGCAUACCACCCUGCAUCCCACUGCUGGCUUGCCUCUGGAGCUAAGCAGGGUUGGUCCUGGAUGGGAGACCAGAUGCUGCUGGUA